GGAUGUGAGGACGAUCUGGCUGCGACAUCUGUCACCCCAUUGAUCGCCAGGGUUGAUUCGGCUGAUCUGGCUGGCUAGGCGGGUGUCCCCUUCCUCCCUCACCGCUCCAUGUGCGUCCCUCCCAAAGCUGCGCGCUCGGUGGAAGAGGACGACCAUCCCAGAUAGAAGGAGUGUACCGUUCUUCGGUCAAGGGUAUACGAUAGCUGCGCUCCCCUGCUAGAACCUCCAAACAAGUGUUGCGUUCUGAAGGCAAAGGAAAGGUGUGCUGGUCCUG